rnacentral:sRNA from 1 species
GCCAUAAUACAAUCACCUAGUAACAAUAUUGUUUGAAUUAUAUACCAUAGAUGGGUUUCUGUGUGCACUGAUUUACUUGUACUCAUCCAUGUUCAUGUACAAAUACAAUUGCAUUUUGUAUAUGUUUGUGCAUUUGCUGAUAAUUUCAAGCACCAUAAAAUCUGUUGUAUUAAUUCAUUUUGUAAACUGCAGCAUAUUUUGACAGAUGGGGUAUGGUUACAUAAUUAUAUACUAGAAAAAUGUAUACGGUAUAUCCCAUUUCAUUUUCUUGAGCGGAAGGGGGGGGGGGGGGUCAGUGCCUAUGCACAUGAGUAUUCUACGUUAAUAAGUUUGCAUUUUACACUUACCCUACAGACUGCCCCUCCUCUGUAAUUGUUUUUGUUCAUGAUCGAAUAUUAAUUCAUAUACAUGUACCAAUUGAUCCAAUAAAUGUAAAUGAUACUUGU